UCCACUUUUUUAUGCUGAAUCGCCUUGCCACCGGCUGAUGGACCCGGCUCGCCGCCAUCGUGAGCCUGUUGGAAGUAUCACGGGACUCUGUGACGGAGCCUUGACCUUUUCCAUUUGAAGGUAUGCCCUGUGACGGCGGCGUCAGACUGGGAGUGCGGCCGGAGCAUGUGGCCCGAGGGCCCUGGCCAUUUUAGGAGAUGCCAACUAAGAGACAACAGCCCGGUGACGGCAGGAACUUCCCAGAUGGCGAGGCGGCCUUCUUUCACACCUGACCUGGAUUCGCAUUCCCGGACCUCCGAGAGAUAAGUGGAGGGCUACGCCUCACAGAGGGGAUGAGAGCGAUGUGCCGGACGCAGAUCGAUUCUAUCUGUGGUGGAGCGCUCCAUACUAGGUGAGGGGGUUCGCACAGGAAGGAGGUAAAGCCGGAUCUCAGCAGUCAAUGUCAAGUGAGCGAGGCGGUCCACUUGCAUUACGCUGACCCCCCUCGCAGAACGGCCGACGGACCCGGCUCGCCGCCCUCGUGACCCCUCCGCAAGUAUCGCAAAGCUCUGCGAUGAAGCCUUGACCUUUUCCACGUGACGGUGCCGUCCGGGUAGCCUUCGGCAACGGCCGAGGAGUUGCGGCGAGUCGGGGAGGGAGGGAGGAGCGAGGGUCCACUCGGGUUUCAGCAAUGCCACACGGCCUGUCUCC